CCCUUAGAUGUUCUGGGCAGCACGCGCGCUACAAUGGUCUUCGCAAACGGAUGCAUUCUCGAAGGAGAAUGCCAAUCUUGGAAUCUAUGCCUUGUUCGGGACAGUUGCUUGCAAUUUUUCGACUCGAACCAGGAAUUCCUUGUAAUCGUGAUUCAUCACAUCACGAUGAAUACGUCCCUGCCCUUUGUACACACCGCCCGUCGCUCCUACCGAUCGAAGAGUUAGGUGAAUUGUUUUGAUCGAUAAGAUUUGACUAUGGUCAACUCUCGUUGUGAAAUUCUGUGAAUCUGACUGUUUAGAGGAAGGAAAAGUCGUAACA
rnacentral:rRNA from 1 species